rnacentral:rRNA from 1 species
CCUACGGGGCGCAGCAGUGGGGAAUAUUGGACAAUGGGCGAAAGCCUGAUCCAGCCAUGCCGCGUGUGUGAAGAAGGCCUUCGGGUUGUAAAGCACUUUCAGUGGGGAAGAAAGCCUUGGGGCUAAUACCCUCGAGGAAGGACAUCACCCACAGAAGAAGCACCGGCUAACUCCGUGCCAGCAGCCGCGGUAAUACGGAGGGUGCGAGCGUUAAUCGGAAUUACUGGGCGUAAAGCGCGCGUAGGCGGUCUGAUAAGCCGGUUGUGAAAGCCCCGGGCUCAACCUGGGAACGGCAUCCGGAACGGUCAGGCUAGAGUGCAGGAGAGGAAGGUAGAAUUCCCGGUGUAGCGGUGAAAUGCGUAGAGAUCGGGAGGAAUACCAGUGGCGAAGGCGGCCUUCUGGACUGACACUGACGCUGAGGUGCGAAAGCGUGGGUAGCAAACAGGAUUAGAUACCCCAGUGUC